rnacentral:rRNA from 4 species
GUUUAGAACGUCGUGAGACAGUUCGGUCCCUAUCUGCCGUGGGCGUUGGAAGAUUGAAGGGGGCUGCUCCUAGUACGAGAGGACCGGAGUGGACGAACCUCUGGUGUUCGGGUUGUGUCGCCAGACGCAUUGCCCGGUAGCUAAGUUCGGAAUUGAUAAGCGCUGAAAGCAUCUAAGCGCGAAGCGAGCCCUGAGAUGAGUCUUCCCUGACAGUUUAACUGUCCUAAAGGGUUGUUCGAGACUAGAACGUUGAUAGGCAGGGUGUGUAAGCGUUGUGAGGCGUUGAGCUAACCUGUACUAAUUGCCCGUGAGGCUUAACCAU